rnacentral:rRNA from 1 species
GAUGAACGCUAGCGAUAGGCUUAACACAUGCAAGUCGAGGGGCAGCACAAGGUAGCUUGCUAUCUGGGUGGCGACCGGCGCACGGGUGCGUAACGCGUAUGCAACUUGCCCUAUACAGGAGGAUAACCCGUCGAAAGACGGACUAAUACUGCGUAUGCUCACAACUUGGCAUCAAGUGGUGAGGAAAGAAAUUCGGUAUAGGAUAGGCAUGCGUCCCAUUAGCUUGUUGGUGAGGUAACGGCUCACCAAGGCAACGAUGGGCAGGGGAACUGAGAGGUUUAUCCCCCACACUGGUACUGAGACACGGACCAGACUCCUACGGGAGGCAGCAGUGAGGAAUAUUGGUCAAUGGGCGCGAGCCUGAACCAGCCAAGUCGCGUGAAGGAGGACUGUCUUAUGGAUUGUAAACUUCUUUUAGACGGGAAUAACAAGAGUCACGUGUGACUCCCUGCAUGUACCGUAUGAAUAAGCAUCGGCUAACUCCGUG